rnacentral:tRNA from 1 species
GGACUGUAGCUCAGUGGUAAAGUGCUUGCCUUGAAUGUGUGAGGCACUGGGUUUGAUCCUCAGCACCA